GAACGCUGGCGGCAGGCCUAACACAUGCAAGUCGAACGGUAACAGGAAGAGCUUGCUUCUUGCUGACGAGUGGCGGACGGGUGAGUAAUGUCUGGGAAACUGCCUGAUGGAGGGGGAUAACUACUGGAAACGGUAGCUAAUACCGCAUAACGUCGCAAGACCAAAGAGGGGGACCUUCGGGCCUCUUGCCAUCGGAUGUGCCCAGAUGGGAUUAGCUGUGGUGGGGUAACGGCUCACCUAGGCGACGAUCCCUAGCUGGUCUGAGAGGAUGACCAGCCACACUGGAACUGAGACACGGUCCAGACUCCUACGGGAGGCAGCAGUGGGGAAUAUUGCACAAUGGGCGCAAGCCUGAUGCAGCCAUGCCGCGUGUAUGAAGAAGGCCUUCGGGUUGUAAAGUACUUUCAGCGGGGAGGAAGGGAGUAAAGUUAAUACCUUUGCUCAUUGACGUUACCCGCAGAAGAAGCACCGGCUAACUCCGUGCCAGCAGCCGCGGUAAUACGGAGGGUGCAAGCGUUAAUCGGAAUUACUGGGCGUAAAGCGCACGCAGGCGGUUUGUUAAGUCAGAUGUGAAAUCCCCGGGCUCAACCUGGGAACUGCAUCUGAUACUGGCAAGCUUGAGUCUCGUAGAGGGGGGUAGAAUUCCAGGUGUAGCGGUGAAAUGCGUAGAGAUCUGGAGGAAUACCGGUGGCGAAGGCGGCCCCCUGGACGAAGAC
rnacentral:rRNA from 1 species